GGAAAAUGUCUAAACGUGGGAGAGGGAAACGUGGAGGGUGAUUACGUACCGUUUCUAAUAUUAUAGAUAAUAUUAUAUUAUUAAAGAUGCAAAAGAGGCACGAGUAGAGUCUAUUAAACUAUCCGAAAAUAGAAAUGAAGGCAGAUGGCAGUUAUUUUUCUGGGGUGGAGGAUCCGCUAAGUAGGCUACUUGGACGGGAACAUGGAGGGACGUACUAUUUCUAAUAUUAUAGGACGCACACAGGUUAAGGAAGGAUUAUUUCAUGGUGGGCUUGAGCACUAAGUGUUUAAUACUUGUGGUUAAAUAUUGGUUACAUAUUGAUUAAAGGACGCACAAAGGCUAAGGGAGCACUAAAUAGUCAAACGGACGUGUCCACCACUCAAAGUUUAGGGGUGGUUUGCGAUUAUGGAGGGGUGGGCUUGAGCCCUAGUAUCCGUGGCGCGAGUGAUGUUGGUGGAUCCCAUAUUCAUUAUCCACCUAUAGAGGAGCAUGCUGAAUGUGAAUUGUUAUUCUCGGGCCCUUCUACGAAAGAAAAAGUAGUCGGUCCACGGCUUGUGUAUCCUACUAUGGAUAGGUUAUUAGAUGAGGUUCAAAGGGAGGACGACUAUGUGAAAGUCAAAGUAGAUAUUAUCAAUCAAAAAUUCGAGAGCAGUCCUCUCCUUCCAGUUUCAUGUUAUGGCGAGGUUACAGAUUUAGGUGAUGCUCAUGGUAAAUAUGUUCAAUGGCCACGUUUUGCCAUAAAGCUUUUGAACACAGAGACAACUCCCCAAAACCAAGACUGACAAAAAAAAGUGGAAGAUGUCACAUGUUAUGAGCCACAGAUAUUUGUAUAACAAAGUAUUUUACAAAAUAGUUCCAGAAGACCCUAAAGUUGCCUACUUCAAUAUCCACAAAAUAAUUGGAAAAGAGUGCGAGACAAAUUUUGCAAGUGUAAAAGAACACUUGUUAAGUGUCUACAAACUUAAAAAGGGCACAAAAUAUUUUCUUCCACCCUUUUUAUAGCGCCCAUUGGGUUUUGUUUAUCGUUUCUCCUAAGGAACGAAGUGUUUGGAUUUUAGAUUCGACUUUGGUUAAGGCCCACAAGAAUAAAGAUGAUUAUCCUCUUUCGAGAGCAAUAGAAUCUUCUUUUGGAAAUGGACUUACAUGGACCAUGGUUCAACAGUGUAUGCAACAAGACAGGUCUUGGGAGUGUGGGUUCAUGGUGAUUUGGUUUAUGUUCCAGUUUCGUUUGAAGAAGCAAUUUUGUUUUCCAAACAAUAUUUGGACCCAAAUAACAAGCGUAACAUAAGAGGAAAUUGACAUGUCGGUUGAAAACAUCAUGACGCGGUUUUUUAAGAGUUUAGGUUGGUUGAAUACAUCAUGAUGUAGUUUUUUAAGAUUGAUAGCUUAUUGUUGUAGGUUAGGUUAGUGUAGUAUUUGAACAACUUUUGUGAACUUUGAAAGUUAUUAUGUAAUCAAAAGGUUCUAUGAUAGUGACUGAGUUUUAUU